GAUGUCUUGAAUAAGCGAAAUAUU
rnacentral:siRNA from 1 species